rnacentral:rRNA from 1 species
GCAAGUCGAGCGCUCUCUUCGGAGGGAGCGGCGGACGGGUUAGUAACGCGUGGGAAUAUACCCUUUUCUACGGAAUAGCCUCGGGAAACUGAGAGUAAUACCGUAUACGCCCUUCGGGGGAAAGAUUUAUCGGAUUUGGAUCGGCCCGCGUUAGAUUAGAUAGUUGGUGGGGUAAUGGCCUACCAAGUCUACGAUCUAUAGCUGGUUUUAGAGGAUGAUC